rnacentral:rRNA from 1 species
CCUACGGGAGGCAGCAGUCGAGAAUCAUUCACAAUGGGGGAAACCCUGAUGGUGCGACGCCGCGUGGGGGAAUGAAGGUCUUCGGAUUGUAAACCCCUGUCAUGUGGGAGCAAAUUAAAAAGAUAGUACCACACGAGGAAGAGACGGCUAACUCUGUGCCAGCAGCCGCGGUAAUACAGAGGUCUCAAGCGUUGUUCGGAAUCACUGGGCGUAAAGCGUGCGUAGGCUGUUUCGUAAGUCGUGUGUGAAAGGCGCGGGCUCAACCCGCGGACGGCACAUGAUACUGCGAGACUAGAGUAAUGGAGGGGGAACCGGAAUUCUCGGUGUAGCAGUGAAAUGCGUAGAUAGCGAGAGGAACACUCGUGGCGAAGGCGGGUUCCUGGACAUUAACUGACGCUGAGGCACGAAGGCCAGGGGAGCGAAAGGGAUUAGAUACCCGGGUAGUC